rnacentral:misc_RNA from 1 species
GAUGAAGAACGUAGCGAAAUGCGAUAAGUAAUGUGAAUUGCAGAAUCCAGUGAAUCAUCGAAUCUUUGAACGCACAUUGCGCCCGCCAGUAUUCUGGCGGGCAUGCCUGUCCGAGCGUCAUUUCAACCCUCGAACCCCUCCGGGGGGUCGGCGUUGGGGAUCGGCCCUUUACGGGGCCGGCCCCGAAAUACAGUGGCGGUCUCGCCGCAGCCUCUCCUGCGCAGUAGUUUGCACACUCGCAUCGGGAGCGCGGCGCGUCCACAGCCGUUAAACACCCCAAACUUCUGAAAUGUUGACCUCGGAUCAGGUAGGAAUACCCGCUGAACUUAAGCAUAUCAAUAAGCGGAGGA